AGCUGCAGUACUGUGAGGCUGGCCCUGUCCAGGUCCGCCCCCAGGCUAUACGCUGCAGACGGCAGGCUUCUGAGCUCCUGUGUGGACAUCCACAGGGACAUGCUGCUGUGUGUGUCAACAGGACAGCCCUUCAUCAGCCCUGAAGAUUGUGGGGACAAGAUUGAGAUGAGAGCUACCUUCGCUCGAAUGAUGAGAUCUCUAGACUCUGGUAAUACCACAACAGACAGGGGACCAAAGGAGCACCUGACUACCACAAUUCCAUGAGGCUGCCAUUCUCUCCAUUGGGCUGCAGAAGCAUAGAACUGCUACGAAACAACUGUACCAUGCCUGAUCAAGAUUGGUGUUAUCCACUGUUGUUGGACUGUCGCUAUGUUCAAGCAAAUCCCAAUGGGACAGUAACUACCAGGAACCGUGUGAUGUUAUAUAUUCACCAUGAGUGGGAAGCAGUGGUAUAAGCGAGUCAGAAACUCAGCAAAAAAAAGAAACGUCCCUUUGUCAGGACCCUGUCUUUCAAAGAUAAAUUCGUAAAUUCGUUAAACACUGUUUACCAUGCUUGUUCAAUGAACCAUAAACAAUUAAUGAACAUGCACCUGUGGAACCCAUCGUUUUACAGACGGUAGGCAAUU